GGAGAAUUGCUUGAACCCGGCAGGCAGAGGUUGCAGUGAGCCGAGAUCGCCCUGCUGCACUCCAGCCUGGGUGACAGAGGGAGACUCCGUCUCAAAAAAAAAAAAGUCUGAGAGUAGCUAAGAAUUUAUGUAAAAGCAAUCAGAGUUUUUAAUUUAUGGGAACCAAAUAAAACUAUAACCUCAUAGUGUUUAUAAGAACUCAGAAAUAAUAUUUAUUUAACUUUAUUAUGAGGCCACACAUAUUUUCCUGUGUUUCUAUAUAUAGUUUGGAAAACUAUCCUUAAUAGUCUGUUUUAUAUGCCUUAUAUUUAAAAGUUUGUUUUAGUUAUUUUGAAAGACUAUUGCUGCUGCAAAUAGUUGUGUGCUUUACAUUCUAAGCUUCAGUACAUUUAUUUAAGAGCAUCAUAAUCUGACCUGAGCAUCCACUUGGAGAGUGUUUUUUUUGUGUGUGGUCUGGGGUGACAAAAGACCACAAAAAUGUGUGGUCUGGAUUUUUUCAACUAUGUCAUUAACUUUAUGAUCCAAGACCAGUUAUAGGAUGAAUCUGUAUGUAAAAAUAGAGUCUUAUUUAUGGAAGGAAUUAUUCUAAGGGAAAAAUCCAGGGUCAAGCUGUAUCUUUUAUGUCCUUUAUAUUGCAUGUCUAUUUCUGUUACACAAUUUGUUAUUUCUUCAAAUUUCCUAUGGUAGCAUGAUAAAUCAUCAAAGAACCUGUUUGGGAUAUAAAACUCUGAUAGAAAAUAUUUAAUGAGUAUCUUGAUUAUAACCUAGAAUAUGUAUACGUUAGUAAAAUAACCAGAUAUACUACAGAACUCUCUAUUGGCUCAAACAGGUUGACCUCAAUCCAAGUUUACUCUUGAUAUCACUCUGUUGGCUGAAGGAGGUAACUCAAACCUCAGGGUUUGUUUUUCCCGGGACAGAUAGUAGUGAUAGUGCAUUAUAUUUGAAUAAGAAAAACAAACCAGUAUACCUUGAGAAAUUUUAAAAAGCAUAGUUGAGGCAUAUUUUUUCAUAAUUAUAUACUUAUCUGUUUAUUGCCCAUGGAAAAUAUAUGUGUAGAAGUAUUUCUUCUGUUAUUUGUUACUAUCUUCUUAAUUUGUUCCAAAGAAAAUGCUGCCAUACUGCAUUCCCUCUGGAAGGAAACAAAACAAAACAAAACUCACUCAAAACCAGCAGUGCUGCUAUCAGAUAAGUAGAUGUCAAUGUAUACUUACAAGGAAAAACUAAAAAAUGUAAUGUGUUAAUUCAGCCUUUUUCUAUGUAAUAUUUCCAAGUCAGACUUUCUUACAUUCCUGGAAUUUACUUUGAUAUACCAAGAAUAAUAAUGAUAAAAUGUUUGCUUUGAUUACUGUGGGGGGAAAGAUGAAAUGUUCAAUUGUAUUAAAACAAACAAGCUUUUCAGAAAAAAAAAAAAAAAAAAA
rnacentral:lncRNA from 1 species